UCUGCCUCCUGACUGACCCUGCUGCUUCCCCACGUGACUGCUGGGGAAUGCUGUGUACCCCUCUCUUGGGAACCGCAUGAUUCCAAGAGCACCCCAAUCAACCUUGUGACGCUAAUCUCUGACUCAGGGUCUGCCCCCCUGAGAAUCCAGCCUGGAGUAUCAGAUGGGUCCAAAACAACCACAUGGAGUUGGAUUUUGGAGCUGGGUCAUCUACCAUCUGGUUGGCAAAGAGGACCCAAGCAGUGGUCAGGGGAGCAUAGAUCUUCACACAGGUUUCUCCAACUCUCAGCUUUACGUUGUCUGCAGAGAGGCCCAUGUCGCACCCUCCUGCUUGAUGACCACCUGGAGGCCUCUCCCCUGCAAAACAACACGCAUCCUUUUCAGAAACUGCUCCCUCCUCCCCCCUGGCGGCCAGGGCAAGUCGGCAACAUGGCUCAGCUGGGGACACUCUGGGCCUGAUGGAAGAGGAAGAAGACCACACUGCAGAGGAGCUUGGGAAGCAGCCGGCUGGUUCCUGCAGAAGGCAGAGGAGUCCGCACGGAACCGGUGC